AUUGAACGCUGGCGGCAGGCCUAACACAUGCAAGUCGAGCGGAGCGGCGGACGGGUGCGUAAUGCCUAGGUCUCUGCCUGUUCGCGGGGGAUAACGUCCGGAACCGGGCGCUAAUACUGCAUCCUCUCAGAUGAGCCUAGGUCGGAUUAGCUAGUUGGUGGGGUAAAGGCCUACCCAGGCGACGAUCCCUAACUGGUCUGAGAGGAUGAUCAGUCACACUGGAACUGAGACACGGUCCAGACUCCUACGGGAGGCAGCAGUGGGGAAUAUUGGACAAUGGGCGCAAGCCUGAUGCAGCCAUGCCGCGUGUAUGAAGAAGGUCUUCGGAUUGUAAAGCACUUUAAGUUGGGAGGCGUUACCAGCAGAAGAAGCACCGGCUAACUCCGUGCCAGCAGCCGCGGUAAUUC
rnacentral:rRNA from 1 species